UUGAAGAAUAUGUCAUAGUGUUGCCAUUCAAGUUGCUUGAAGGAAGCGGUGCGCAGCAGAGAUUGUGCUGGUAGGGGUAGAGGCCCAGGAUCCAGACAAUGGUGCACUAAUUGCAGCGAAGUCGGUGGACUUCGGGAGCUACUAGGCGACGGACUGUCCUAGAGCAGUGCUUCAUCUAGGUGUGACCCAAGAGUGGGUGGAUGAAGGUCGAUUACCAAAGGAGCGAACAAAA
rnacentral:lncRNA from 1 species